AUAGUGUUUGCCAGGGCCAGAGGAAAAGGUGGGUGGAGCAACAAAUGCAAGUUCUACCUUUGUACCUUAGGCUGGUUUCUACACACUCUUUCAUCCAGGCAUGCAAGUCAUUAGGAGAGCUGAAGGCCGCAUUCCAGCCAGCCAAAAACACUCAAGGAGGGUGCAAAGCAGGGCCAGCGAACGGUGUGGCCUGGGGAGAGGGAAAGGCCCUUCUCCGUGGUGGCCCCAAAUUAUGGAAUGAUCUCAUUCAACAGGGCUGUUUCUGCGACCGACAGGCUGAAGGGGUUUUCUGGCCCUGUGGAAGCUGCUGCGCUUGCUAUGCGGACCUUAGGACCGGCGGAAUCACACCGUGAAAGGGAAGCCGGGUUAAGCGAUUCCACAGAGAUUUUCCACGAGAGACCCUUCAGGUGGGGGUCAGUUCUGUGGGGUAGCACCUACCUCUCCCCCACCCAACCCCUAAGGAGGUGGGGAAGGAGGGCUACGUCACGUCCCACCCACCUAUCUACCCACCCAAGGAGACUCUCCCCCACUCACCGGCAGCCCGCGUCCGCCCGCCCCAGCGCAGACCGGAAGCACCCUGGAGCCCAGGGCAGCAAACAAAAGCACUAAAAACACUAAAACAUAACAUAUGGGAUAUGUUAUGUAGGAGCAGCCCCAAAGAGCCCCACUCCCACCACAGACGCCAGUCUGGAUGUGCCUCACUUUUCCUGAAGAGAAACUGCUGUGGAGGCCCCGGAGUGGUCACGGGCACAGCUCCGUGUUUGUCGGGUUCCUCCAAACAACGAGCGCUUCUGGUACAACUUGCCCCUCCACAUAAGCAUGAGUGCUUCAUGGGAGGUUGCUGCACUGUGUGGUGUUGCUUUCCCACCCAAGUGUCUUGACACGACUUACCGUGUAAGAAUAGAAGUAACAAGAAACAUCAAAACCAAAUGUAAGAAGAAGAAUGACACAGGAGCCUUAAAUAGUCACCCCUGGUGAAAGGCUGAGCACAAAAAGACACCCAAGACACCCCUCAUUAGCCUUCAUGAACAAAAAUGUGUUUCCCUGGCACCUCAGAACAGGCUAUGAGGGCCCUGGCAUGCCUCCCUGGGAAGAGCAUUCCACAACCAAAGAGCCACCACUGAGGCGGCCCAUUAAAAUGUGGCUACCCUCUGCACCACCCUUGAAGGGACCACACAGAGAAGGACCUCAGAUAAUGAAUGCAGGGGCUAAGUUGGCUCAUGGGGGUAAAGAGGGUCCUUGAGAUAUUGGGGGUCAUGAGACACGUAAGGCUUUAUAGGUCAAAACCAGCACUUUGAAUUGAGCCCAGUGCCAUUACUGGUGUUACAUGUCUUUCCAUGGUAGGCAGUCUGGCCGGUGAAUUCAGCUACAAUUUGUAAACCCUCUUCAAGGGCAGAAUGUGAUGUUCCUGUAUUAAUGUAUAUAUGGUAAGUGCUGUUUGUAUAGAAGAUAUGUGGUAAGUGGAAUGAAAGAGGAGGGGGGAGUAAAUGAUGAUUGGCUGAGUGUUUGGAUGGCUGAGAGUAUAAAUGGAAGGAUGACAGUUGAAUCUGGGUGGACGUGAGUGGGUUGUUUUGGUGGAGUUGGGAGGUGGGUGUGAGUUGGUGUAUGUCAGGAGAGUGUGGAGAAGGAGGGAGGUGGAGUUCGGAUUAGUAAUGUCAAAUAUCACAGUAAUAGGUGAAACCAUAAGCUUGUAGAUCAUUAUCAAAGUUAUCU